GGUGGCUCAGUGGUAGUGGUAGAGCACUUGCCUUGCAUGCAUGAGGCCCUGGGUUCGAUUCCCUAGCACUA
rnacentral:tRNA from 1 species